UAGGGAAUCUUCGGCAAUGGGGGCAACCCUGACCGAGCAACGCCGCGUGAGUGAAGAAGGUUUUCGGAUCGUAAAGCUCUGUUGUUAAGGAAGAACGUGUGUGAGAGUGGAAAGUUCACACAGUGACGGUACUUAACCAGAAAGGGACGGCUAACUACGUGCCAGCAGCCGCGGUAAUACGUAGGUCCCGAGCGUUGUCCGGAUUUAUUGGGCGUAAAGCGAGCGCAGGCGGUUAGAUAAGUCUGAAGUGAAAGGCAGUGGCUCAACCAUUGUAGGCUUUGGAAACUGUUUAACUUGAGUGCAGAAGGGGAGAGUGGAAUUCCAUGUGUAGCGGUGAAAUGCGUAGAUAUAUGGAGGAACACCGGUGGCGAAAGCGGCUCUCUGGUCUGUAACUGACGCUGAGGCUCGAAAGCGUGGGGAGCGAACAGGAUUAGAUACCCUGGUAGUCCACGCCGUAAACGAUGAGUGCUAGGUGUUAGGUCCUUUCCGGGACUUAGUGCCGCAGCUAACGCAUUAAGCACUCCGCCUGGGGAGUACGACCGCAAGGUUG
rnacentral:rRNA from 1 species